rnacentral:misc_RNA from 1 species
GCCACACCGUACUCGCCACCCCUACCGGAGAAGCAACCUUCUGAAAAUUAGGGACUGAAACAAGACGGUAGAACUGAAAUAUCUUUUAACACUUUUAAAGUUGAUCAAAACAAACUUCCAAUGCAGAUAAGAACUCUACUAGAAUAACAGUAACAGGUAAUACUAACUAAUGACGAUUCUCUUCCAUAAGACAUUCGCUAAGGGAAAACAAAACUGAAUUGCCCCAAAGUCAGACAAAAUCAACAGUAAGUUAUGGCUCACACAAUGCCAAAAGAAAAAUACGAAGGUCACCCAAAGAAUCCCAAAAUGAGAUUUUUGUCUGCACAAGACUCAUUUCUUCUUAGCAUCACCAGCCUUGGUCUUCUUUACACCGCGAACCUUCUUGGCUCUGUUCUUUCUUUCCUUCAUUUGUUUCCUAGACUUCUCAACCUUAGUGUCAAGCCCAUUCCUGAUGAGCCUAUACUUUGGCUCAUACUUCUUGGCAUUCUCAACGGAAUCAUAAAUCAAACCAAAUCCUGUUGAUUUCCCACCUCCAAAAUGUGUUCGGAACUUGAAAACAAAAAUAGCAUUGGCGUCCUUCACCUCAUACAUCCUAGCCAACUUCUCCUUCAGCUCAGCCUUUGAGACAUUGGCUCUUCCAGGAUGAAGUACAUCAAUAAUGAAUUGCUUCCUGGCGAGAAGCCUGUUGGUCAUGAACUUGCGGGUACGAAUAGUGACUGCCUUGUCCGCCAUGGCUAGCUGUCUCUUGGAGCAAAUAGUGAGGCAGGAAAAAGGCACUCACAGAGGCAGUAGCGAAA